ensembl:lncRNA
GUUUAAUAGCUGUGUUCAGUAGCUCAGUGUUUAAUAGCUCAGUGUUUAAUAGCUGUGUUCAGUAGCUCAGUGUUUAAUAGCUCAGUGUUUAAUAGCUGUGUUCAGUAGCUCAGUGUUUAAUAGCCGUGUUCAGUAGCUCAGUGUUUAAUAGCUGUGUUCAGUAGCUCAGUGUUUAAUAGCUCAGUGUUUAAUAGCUGUGUUCAGUAGCUCAGUGUUUAAUAGCUGUGUUCAGUAGCUCAGUGUUUAAUAGCUGUGUUCAGUAGCUCAGUGUUUAAUAGCUGUGUUCAGUAGCUCAGUGUUUAAUAGCUGUGUUCAGUAGCUCAGUGUUCAGUAGCUCAGUUGUUAAUAGCUGUGUUCAGUAGCUCAGUGUUUAAUAGCUGUGUUCAGUAGCUCAGUGUUUAAUAGCUCCGUGUUCAGUAGCUCAGUGUUCAGUAGCUCAGUGUUCAGUAGCUCAGUGUUUAAUAGCCGUGUUCAGUAGCUCAGUGUUCAGUAGCUCAGUGUUUAAUAGCCGUGUUCAGUAGCUCAGUGUUUAAUAGCUCAGUGUUUAAUAGCCGUGUUCAGUAGCUCAGUGUUUAAUAGCUCAGUGUUUAAUAGCCGUGUUCAGUAGCUCAGUGUUCAGUAGCUCAGUGUUUAAUAGCCGUGUUCAGUAGCUCAGUGUUCAGUAGCUCAGUGUUUAAUAGCCGUGUUCAGUAGCUCAGUGUUUAAUAGCUGUGUUCAGUAGCUCAGUGUUCAGUAGCUCAGUGUUUAAUAGCUGUGUUCAGUAGCUCAGUGUUUAAUAGCCGUGUUCAGUAGCUCAGUGUUCAGUAGCUCAGUGUUUAAUAGCUCAGUGUUUAAUAGCUGUGUUCAGUAGCUCAGUGUUUAAUAGCUGUGUUCAGUAGCUCAGUGUUUAAUAGCUGUGUUCAGUAGCUCAGUGUUCAGUAGCUCAGUGUUUAAUAGCCGUGUUCAGUAGCUCAGUGUUCAGUAGCUCAGUGUUUAAUAGCUGUGUUCAGUCGCUCAGUGUUCAGUAGCUCAGUGUUUAAUAGCUGUGUUCAGUCGCUCAGUGUUCAGUAGCUCAGUGUUUAAUAGCUGUGUUCAGUAGCUUGCCGCUUGUUGCAUAAAUCCAUUUUCAACACACUCGUCUCAUUGACAUGUAUGUCUAUUUUACAAUAUUAUUAUUAUAUCAUUUUAUUUAAUCAUCAUC